rnacentral:rRNA from 1 species
AACCUUUAUGGAGGGAGCCGCCUAAGGCGGGACAGAUGACUGGGGUGAAGUCGUAACAAGGUAGCCGUAGGAGAACCUGCGGCUGGAUCACCUCCUUUCUAAGGAA